UACAGAGGGUGCAAGCGUUAAUCGGAAUUACUGGGCGUAAAGCGUGCGUAGACGGUUGCGUAAGUCAGAUGUGAAAGCCCCGGGCUCAACCUGGGAAUUGCAUUUGAGACUGCGUAGCUAGGGUGCGGAAGAGGGAAGCGGAAUUUCCGGUGUAGCGGUGAAAUGCGUAGAUAUCUGGAGGAACACCGGUGGCGAAGGCGACGUCCUGGACCGGCAUUGACGCUGAGGCGCGAAAGCCAGGGGAGCAAACGGG
rnacentral:rRNA from 1 species